rnacentral:rRNA from 3 species
UACGGAGGGUGCAAGCGUUAAUCGGAAUUACUGGGCGUAAAGCGCACGCAGGCGGUUGGAUAAGUUAGAUGUGAAAGCCCCGGGCUCAACCUGGGAAUUGCAUUUAAAACUGUCCAGCUAGAGUCUUGUAGAGGGGGGUAGAAUUCCAGGUGUAGCGGUGAAAUGCGUAGAGAUCUGGAGGAAUACCGGUGGCGAAGGCGGCCCCCUGGACAAAGACUGACGCUCAGGUGCGAAAGCGUGGGGAGCAAAC